AAGACAAAGAAAAGGGAGUAAGAACCAACUAUGACGACCGCAGUGUGGAAUUACAUAGAGAAAUAACAUUAAAGUGCGACACCCUAUAACAACACUAUAAUCAAACAAUGUCAAACAUAUACAAAUGGUGCAUGAAGUUAGUGUCUUAUACAAGAGAAUAUUCACAUCCACAAUUAAUAUAUCUUUCAUGCAAUGCAAUAUGCAAUUCACCAACCAACCACCA
rnacentral:lncRNA from 1 species